rnacentral:rRNA from 1 species
UUUAGCGGGAGUAUAAAAUACAUUUAAGUCUUUUUCGCUAGCCCAUCCAACAAGUUUUCCAUCUACUUUAAACUGAUACCAAAGUGUAUUUCCGGCUUUAGCGCGAGUCACUAUUUCUAGUUUUUCAUUAUUAUAAUCUGCAAGUGGUGCUAAUUUUUCUGCGUUUUUUGUGUUGAAUGGUGCAGUCCAUACGUUAUCAGUUGCAGAUUUACUUACUAGAGCAUAGCCAUCGUACGAAGUUUGUUCUGUGAUGCGAUCGUAAAGGCGAUCAUUCAAUUUAUCUGCGCGAACCCAGCCGAUUACUUUCUCGCCUUCUGAAAUUCGGAACCAAGCAUAGCCGCCGCGAGUAAUUUUUUUAUCUGCUUCAAGGGCUUUUCUAUCGUAUUUUGCGAUAGUUCCAUUAUCGAAUUGUUUUUCAGGGCUUGGUAGACGAUAUACAUGUGCGCUUAAAUCAUCUACAUAUUUGGUUAAAUGAACAUUUUCAUCUUCUUUUUGAUGAUAGCUGAUUUUUAAGGCAUUACUAUUUAUCCAACCAAUAUCUUUGUUGUUCUCGCGAAUAAAGUACCAUAGACCUUUUUCUGUUUUAGCUUCCCAGGAAAUUUCUAAGUUACGCCCUGAGUAAUUUUCGAGGGUCCCGAUUUUAUUAGCAUUUUCUGUAUUGUACGGUGCCGACCAAAUAACCUCUUGUUUUUUAUUUUCAGCUACUGUUCCAAUUGCUGCUAAGGAUUGAUUAGACUCGAUUUUAUCGUAAAUGACAUCGUAUUUAUCUAAGUUGUAACGUUCAAUAAUUGCUACUAGUUUAGAAACAUAAUCUGGAUCAGUCGCAUAACCACCAUCUUUAAUAGCUUGCAGUGCUUUGCGGUAGUCCGUUUCAUCAACAGCGUCUUGAUAGCGCGCAUUUUCAGUAAUUAAAGCUGUGUGAUCUUCAAUGGAUUCUUUCCAACUAGGGUAAACGCGGAAAUUAGCGGUUGUAGAGCCGGAUGCUUCCAUUGUCCCCAUGGAGACAGACUUACCUUUAUACGUUCCUUUAAUUCCGAAUAAGUUAUUAGAGUUCUGGCUUAGACCACUUUCACCCCAAUUUGAUUCUAAAAUUGCUUGAGCGAGUGUUACACUUGUAAGCAAUUUACCAUCGCGAUAUCCAUCCUGAGCCGCUGGUAAAAUUUCAUCAAUGAAAGCUUGUUGCGAAGUAGUCAGAUUAACUUGAGCUGUUCUGCUACCUCCUGUUUCUGCUCCAACAUUUAUGGAAACUACCAAAAAUGCCACAAUUAGCAGAAUUAUCCCUGGUUUUAUAAACUUUCUAUCCAAAUUUCAAUGCACUCCUUUUUAUAUAUCUGCAACUAUAUUAUCAAAAAAUGCCGAAAAAUUUCUAUUACAUUUCUAUGACGAAAAACAGCAAUUAUAGCAAACCUAUUGGUACGCAAAGAGUAAUGCUGGAAAAGCCAAAUAUGUAAAAUUUGUGAAAUCCUCUUUGAUGAACUUUUAUACUAAAAAAACAAGCAUUAUGUGAAAAAAUAAAACAGCCAUGCUAUAAUAAUCAGUAUGUCAGCGCAUUCAUUUUUGGAGGUUUUUAUUUAUGUUAAACGAACAACAAAUUACUAGAUUGCUAUAUCGAUUGCAAGAUCCUGUUUUAGAGGCAAGCUUAGAAGAAACUGAAGGUGUUUUAGAAGUACAAGUACUUGAAGAAACAGCGAAUAUUAAAAUCGCAUUAGCUGAUCCAGCAGUAGAAACGGAUCAUUUUGUUCAUAAUAUAGAAGAACUUCUCACCCAAUUCGGCGUAAAUGAAAUAAAUAUUGAGCUAGAAUACCUACCUGCAGCAGUUAUCGACCGCAUUUUCCAAGCAAGAGAUAACAUACUCUCAGAAGCUAGUGAAACGAAAUUCUUAGCAAUAGCGAGUGGUAAAGGUGGCGUCGGGAAAUCAACUGUCUCUGCGAAUCUUGCAAUCGCCUUAGCACAACAAGGCAAAAAAGUAGGAUUAUUAGACGCGGAUAUAUAUGGAUUCAGUAUUCCUGUACUGCUAGGAACAACCGAAUCCCCCCACAAAGAAAAUGGCCAAAUCAUCCCAGUCGAAACACACGGCAUUCAAAUGAUUUCUAUGGAUUUUUUUGUGGAACAAGGAGAACCAGUUAUCUGGCGCGGACCAAUGCUAGGGAAAAUGAUUAAAAUGUUUUUAGAAGAAGUAAGAUGGGGAAAACUAGACUAUUUACUUAUCGAUUUACCACCUGGAACUGGAGAUGUUGCGCUAGAUAUCCAUACGCUUAUCCCGAAAUGCAAUGAACUUAUUGUUACAACACCACAUUAUGCAGCCGCGUCAGUCGCAUCUCGAGCAGGAUAUAUGGCAGCAAAAAACAAUCACAAAAUCAUCGGUGUAAUCGAAAAUAUGUCUUAUCUUACUUUAGCUGAUGGACAAGUAUUAAAAGUAUUCGGACAAGGCGGCGGCGAAAAAGUUGCUGCAGACUUAGAAACACAACUUUUAAUACAACUGCCAAUAGAACAACCAGAACCAAAUGGAAAUGGCUAUGUAUCAGCCCUUUUCAACUCUUCAAGCACUUCAGGAAAAGCAUAUAAAACCCUAGCAGAGAAAAUAAUUCCAUAUUUAUCAUAAAAACUUUGUAAAAAGUAUUGACGAAAGGCAAAAAUCUUGGUAUAUUUAUAAACGUUGCUGAUGCGGACAAAACGCUUUCGCAACAAAAGAAAUUGACCUUUGAAAACUGAACAAAGAAGAAGACGAAAAGCAAUGAGACGUAAAGUCUUACUGGUAAUCGCAGGGCAGAAAACAGAAAGCUGUUUUCAACAAAACAAACUAGUAAUUUAAUUGCUAGCGAAGUCAAUUUGACGCAAGGAAUCUUAUUCACGGUGUUGAAUAAGUAUUCAAAUUCAAUUUAUAUUUUAAAGAGAGUUUGAUCCUGGCUCAGGACGAACGCUGGCGGCGUGCCUAAUACAUGCAAGUCGAACGAACGGAGGAAGAGCUUGCUCUUCCAAAGUUAGUGGCGGACGGGUGAGUAACACGUGGGCAACCUGCCUGUAAGUUGGGGAUAACUCCGGGAAACCGGGGCUAAUACCGAAUGAUAAAGUGUGGC